rnacentral:lncRNA from 1 species
CUCUGAUUUGCAUUGCCUGGGAGUCGGGUCUGAGAAGGACAUGGCUUCUCUUUGAGAGCUAUAAUUAACAUUGGGAAGCUGCUGGCUGCUCUGGCAAUCCCAGUUAUCCACGUUGUCUGUGCUGUUCACGUAUCCCUUCUUAGUUGAGCAUACUUAUUAUUAUCUUUAUUAAUUACACACAGCAGUAUGCUUAAAGCGAGGCGGUGAGGUGGGGGGGAGUAGAAUGGCCAGUGUUUUCCCACCACGGAGAAGCAAAAUGUUACAUUUUGUACUUGUCAAAAGCAAAAAUCCUUCACUUCAAGAUGUGUGAGAUGCAUUACUAAUUGCACAAUUAUUUUGUUCCGUGGCACUUGCAAGAAAGAACUUGGAGUGCUUUCAGCAAAUUCUGGUGUUGAGAAAAUAAUGAAUUGGAGGUUUUUUUUUUCUUUCUUUUUAUUUUAAAGGUACUAAAUUAAGUGCUCUUCCUUCAUGAGAAUGUCUUCCCAAGCUUUCUGGAGCUGUCUUCCCAAAGCUUUUUGAAGAUGGAAGAAGUGUGCUUUAGUUAGGUGUGGAGGUCAGCGUGGCCCUGAAUAAAGGAAGGGAUGAGUGAAUACAGCUCAUGUGGAUGAUUUCCUUUUUGUUACAUGAGAAGAGGCCAAAAUAUUCAGGUGUUGAGUAAGCAGCUGUAUUGAAGACAGCUGAAUGCUGAGGGAGAGAGGUUUCCCAUUGCUGCCUGGAUGGAUGGUCCUGUCAGUCCUGUCUUAGUCCCAGGGGAUGGUCUCCUACACUCUCCCUUGUGUGAUGACUGCAUGACUACACCCCUUGGAUCCUAUCACCAUUCAUCUUUGGAAAGGAGAUGUGGCACAAAACAAAGAAGAGAAGCGAGAGGGGAGCACCGAACCAAACAGCAGUCACAGUUUUUGUUGUGCUGAGUGUUUUGUGCCAGCUUAGACAAGGUAACUAUAAUAAUAGCAGCAGAUAGUGGAGGGAUACUGAGUAUUAAGAAGCAGCUUUGAAUUAAUCUCAGCUUUCUUAUUUUGAGCAGCAGCAGCACACCUCCUAACGCCCUUAUCUUUUUGGGUGCACCUGGAACUGUGAAAGAUUUAAACUUGCAAAUCCAGAGCUUAAACAGUAAACAAUUUGGCCUCAAACAGUCCAGAAUUGGGGAGAGGGGGGAUUGGCAUGUGUAGAAGAGGAAGGCUUGGGGGAGCUUGUGGAUUUAUACAGAGCUGAAAGGUUU